AAGUAAUCAAUUGAAGAAGGUUU
rnacentral:snRNA from 1 species